UGGGAAUGUAUUCAUGCCACAGUAAGUGGGU
rnacentral:piRNA from 1 species